rnacentral:rRNA from 1 species
GGCUGGCGGGUGCUAUACAUGCAGUCGAGCGAAGAGAUGGGAGCUUGCUCCCUGAUCUUAGCGGCGGACGGGUGAGUAACACGUGGGCAACCUGCCCUGCAGACUGGGAUAACUCCGGGAAACCGGAGCUAAUACCGGGUAAUACAUCGCACCGCAUGGUGCAAUGUUGAAAGUUGGCUUUCGAGCUAACACUGCAGGAUGGGCCCGCGGCGCAUUAGCUAGUUGGUAAGGUAAUGGCUUACCAAGGCGACGAUGCGUAGCCGACCUGAGAGGGUGAUCGGCCACACUGGGACUGAGACACGGCCCAGACUCCUACGGGAGGCAGCAGUAGGGAAUCUUCCGCAAUGGACGAAAGUCUGACGGAGCAACGCCGCGUGAGUGACGAAGGCCUUCGGGUCGUAAAGCUCUGUUGUUAGGGAAGAACAAGUACCGUUCGAAUAGGGCGGUACCUUGACGGUACCUAACCAGAAAGCCACGGCUAACUACGUGCCAGCAGCCGCGGUAAUACGUAGGUGGCAAGCGUUGUCCGGAAUUAUUGGGCGUAAAGCGCGCGCAGGCGGUCUUUUAAGUCUGAUGUGAAAGCCCACGGCUCAACCGUGGAGGGUCAUUGGAAACUGGAGGACUUGAGUGCAGAAGAGGAGAGUGGAAUUCCACGUGUAGCGGUGAAAUGCGUAGAUAUGUGGAGGAACACCAGUGGCGAAGGCGGCUCUCUGGUCUGUAACUGACGCUGAGGCGCGAAAGCGUGGGGAGCAAACAGGAUUAGAUACCCUGGUAGUCCACGCCGUAAACGAUGAGUGCUAGGUGUUGGGGGGUUCCACCCUCAGUGCUGAAGUUAACACAUUAAGCACUCCGCCUGGGGAGUACGACCGCAAGGUUGAAACUCAAAGGAAUUGACGGGGGCCCGCACAAGCAGUGGAGCAUGUGGUUUAAUUCGAAGCAACGCGAAGAACCUUACCAGGUCUUGACAUCCUCUGACAAUCCUGGAGACAGGACGUUCUCCUUCGGGGGACAGAGUGACAGGUGGUGCAUGGUGC